GAUGAAGAACGUAGCGAAAUGCGAUAAGUAAUGUGAAUUGCAGAAUUCAGUGAAUCAUCGAAUCUUUGAACGCACAUUGCGCCCGCCAGUAUUCUGGCGGGCAUGCCUGUUCGAGCGUCAUUACAACCCUCAGGCCCCCGGGCCUGGCGUUGGGGAUCGGCGGAAGCCCCCUGCGGGCACAACGCCGUCCCCCAAAUACAGUGGCGGUCCCGCCGCAGCUUCCAUUGCGUAGUAGCUAACACCUCGCAACUGGAGAGCGGCGCGGCCACGCCGUAAAACACCCAACUUCUGAAUGUUGAUCUCAAAUCAGGUAGGACUACCCGCUGAACUUAAGCAUAUCAAUAAGCGGAGGA
rnacentral:misc_RNA from 1 species